rnacentral:misc_RNA from 1 species
GAUGAAGAACGUAGCGAAAUGCGAUAAGUAAUGUGAAUUGCAGAAUCCAGUGAAUCAUCGAAUCUUUGAACGCACAUUGCGCCCGCCAGCAUUCUGGCGGGCAUGCCUGUUCGAGCGUCAUUUCAACCCUCGACCUCCCUUUGGGGAAGUCGGCGUUGGGGACCGGCAGCACACCGCCGGCCCUGAAAUGGAGUGGCGGCCCGUCCGCGGCGACCUCUGCGUAGUAAACCAACUCACACCGGAACCCCGACGUGGCCACGCCGUAAAACACCCAACUUCUGAACGUUGACCUCGAAUCAGGUAGGACUACCCGCUGAACUUAAGCAUAUCAAUAAGCGGAGGA